AAAAGCAAUGAUUCAUAUUUUUCGUGUUGCCAGUGUUGUUUACACUAAAUCCAUGGGUCAAAGCCCUAAAAGUGCGCUGGAUAUAGAAGAAUGCUACAGCCGGGGGUGUGACGGGAAGAUAAGAACGUAUUGCCCUGACACACAAAAGUUGGGACGGACGGAUACUGCCCUGAGGAAAAAUCAACAUUUUAAAGGAGACAGGCGGGAGUGUUUUUUGCGAACGUGGGUACAACCUUGUUUCCAGGGAUUCGAAACGAGUGGAGAGACACAAGUCCACGACUUUGACGGGGCGUGACGAUGGAUGCCAGACAAAUACAGGCUCAACGAACAAGGCAAAGAUUUGAAUCUUUGGAUCAACAGACA